rnacentral:pre_miRNA from 1 species
AACCUUCUGUAUCCGUGCUGAGAUUUCGUCACACACCAGAUAUUAAGGGCUGAUGAGACUUCCAAGACAAGUGAAGCG